GGGGCUGACAGGAUUUCUACAUGUUUGUAUAUCUUAAGUCUUAAUUGAAUUUGCAUUAUGAUUAAUACAUAAUGUUAUAAUUUACUCUUAUUAAUUGCAAAACAUAACAUCGUUGCUUUUUCGAGAAAUUUAGUACACGCAUAAAUUAUCACGAUUAUAGUUUGUAAUAUCAAAAUACAAUUUAUAUUUUUUAAGGUUUGCUCUAAUUAUAAAUUGAUAAAAAAAUAUAUUAUUAUACUUAUUUUUAUUCAAUUAAUUUUUAGUAAAGUAGUAGUAUCUGAAAUUUAAAAAAGUACACUAAUUAUUGAUAAGUAACUUAAUUAUUUUACAAACAUGGACGUGGGUUCAAAUCCCACCAGUUCCA
rnacentral:tmRNA from 1 species